rnacentral:rRNA from 1 species
AUGCACGCUGGCGGCGUGCCUCAUACAUGCCAGUCGAGCGAACGGACGAGAAGCUUGCUUCUCUGAUGUUAGCGGCGGACGGGUGAGUAACACGUGGAUAACCUACCUAUAAGACUGGGAUAACUUCGGGAAACCGGAGCUAAUACCGGAUAAUAUUUUGAACCGCAUGGUUCAAAAGUGAAAGACGGUCUUGCUGUCACUUAUAGAUGGAUCCGCGCUGCAUUAGCUAGUUGGUAAGGUAACGGCUUACCAAGGCAACGAUGCAUAGCCGACCUGAGAGGGUGAUCGGCCACACUGGAACUGAGACACGGUCCAGACUCCUACGGGAGGCAGCAGUAGGGAAUCUUCCGCAAUGGGCGAAAGCCUGACGGAGCAACGCCGCGUGAGUGAUGAAGGUCUUCGGAUCGUAAAACUCUGUUAUUAGGGAAGAACAUAUGUGUAAGUAACUGUGCACAUCUUGACGGUACCUAAUCAGAAAGCCACGGCUAACUACGU